GUAACGUGAAGAUAUACGUGAAUGGUGCGAUUACAUUAAGUAUUGUUUAAGGGCUAAAUACUUGGAAGAUAAUUUGAAAUCCGAUAUAAAGAAGCUGCUUUCUCACAAAAUGAGACAACUUUAGAUCAAUAAGUACCAAAACUGAUAACUUUGCAUGAGUCAAAGUAAAACUGGCGGGUGUGUCUAUUUACUGUUUCUCUCCCAAAAACAACUCCUUGUUACGAUCAAUUUUCUGAAAUCCCAAUAAACCACGCAGAAUUCAGGCCCUGGUAAAAUAGAUGACUG